GGGAUAUUCUGGUUUAAUCCAUGGUCUAAAUCACUGUGAAACUGUGUUAGACUCCCUCUCCAGAGAUCAAGUUAGCAGACCGCUAAUUUAGUGAGUUUUAUCAACCUCAGAAACGACCGCACGACAACAAUACACUGCAGUAAAUGGAUCCAAAUAUAAACCGCCACCAAAAAGCCACAAAUAAUGCUCAGAACAGCACCAAACUUCAGCAACGGUACAAAUAGGGUCUCAGCACAUAGUCCGGGGCAUCUAACCUCCGCUAGCUUAGCUGGAUUUCUAUUGUGAAGCUAAAAACAGAUUUCAACUCUCCUCCAUCAGCUUCCGGGUCGGGGAAGUCCCGACGCGACGAUUACCGAGUGCGGUUAGAAAUGCUCAAUUCCGUUCUUUUCCCUGUCCGCUCUCGAUAAUAACUGUUAUAAACUGGCAGGUAAGACACAUAUGAACUUUGAUUGCUUUUCCAUGGAGUCAUAAUCAUACAUUUUCAUCCAUGAGCCGCGGAACUCUACUGCACUCGGUAAUCGACUCGUCGGGACUUCCCGUCAACAGGAAGCUGCUGCAGAAGAGUGGUAAAUUUAGUCAGCUUUUCAGUAGAAAUCCAGCUAAGCUAGUGGAGGUUAGAUGCCCCGGACUAUGUGCUGAGACCCUAUUUGUACUGUUGCUGAAGUUUGGUGCUGUUCUGAGCAUUAUUUGUGGCUUUUUGGUGGCGGUUUAUAUUUGGAUCCAUUUACUGCAGUGUAUUGUUGUCGUGGAUCCAAAUAUAAACCGCCACCAAAAAGCCACAAAUAAUGCUCAGAACAGCACCAAACUUCAGCAACAGUACAAAUAGGGUCUCAGCACAUAGUCCGGGGCAUCUAACCUCCGCUAGCUUAGCUGGAUUUCUAUUGUGAAGCUAAAAACAGAUUUCAACUCUCCUCCAUCAGCUUCCGGGUCGGGGAAGACCCGACGCGACGAUUACCGAGUGCGGUUAGAAAUGCUCAAUUCCGUUCUUUUCCCUGUCCGCUCUCGAUAAUAACUGUUAUAAACUGGCAGGUAAGACACAUAUGAACUUUGAUUGCUUUUCCAUGGAGUCAUAAUCAUACAUUUUCAUCCAUGAGCCGCGGAACUCUACUGCACUCGGUAAUCGACUCGUCGGGACUUCCCGUCAACAGGAAGCUGCUGCAGAAGAGUGGUAAAUUUAGUCAGCUUUUCAGUAGAAAUCCAGCUAAGCUAGCGGAGGUUAGAUGCCCCGGACUAUGUGCUGAGACCCUAUUUGUACUGUUGCUGAAGUUUGGUGCUGUUCUGAGCAUUAUUUGUGGCUUUUUGGUGGCGGUUUAUAUUUGGAUCCAUUUACUGCAGUGUAUUGUUGUCGUGCGGUCGUUUCUGAGGUGGAUAAAACUCCGUAAAUUAGCGGUCUGCUAACUUGAUCUCUCGAGAGGGAGUCUAACACAGUUUCACGGUGUUAGACCAUGGAUUAAAGUCA
rnacentral:lncRNA from 1 species